GAACGCACAUUGCGCCCUUUGGUAUUCCGAAGGGCAUGCCUGUUCGAGCGUCAUUAUCACCCCUCAAGCCUCGUGCUUGGUGUUGGAGUCCGUGCCGUCACCGGUACCGCUCCCAAUGACAAUGACGGCGGCCUGCGGUUCCCCCGGUACACUGAGCUUUCUGAGCACGUAUCGGACCAGGGCACCCGGGCCACGGUCCUCUCUCUACGGAGAAAAUCUUUCAAGGUUGACCUCGGAUCAGGUAGGAAUACGCGCUGAACUUAAG
rnacentral:misc_RNA from 1 species